rnacentral:rRNA from 1 species
GAUGAACGCUAGCUACAGGCUUAACACAUGCAAGUCGAGGGGAAACGGCAUUUAGUGCUUGCACAGAAUGGACGUCGACCGGCGCACGGGUGAGUAACGCGUAUCCAACCUACCCAUUACUGUGGGAUAACCUGCCGAAAGGCAGACUAAUACCGCAUAGUCUUCGAUGACGGCAUCAGAUUUGAAGUAAAGAUUUAUCGGUAAUGGAUGGGGAUGCGUCUGAUUAGCUUGUUGGCGGGGUAACGGCCCACCAAGGCGACGAUCAGUAGGGGUUCUGAGAGGAAGGUCCCCCACAUUGGAACUGAGACACGGUCCAAACUCCUACGGGAGGCAGCAGUGAGGAAUAUUGGUCAAUGGACGAGAGUCUGAACCAGCCAAGUAGCGUGCAGGAUGACGGCCCUAUGGGUUGUAAACUGCCUUUGUAUGGGGAUAAAGUCAAUCACGUGUGAUUGUUUGCAGGUACCAUACGAAUAAGGACCGGCUAAUUCCGUGCCAGCAGCCGCGGUAAUACGGAAGGUCCGGGCGUUAUCCGGAUUUAUUGGGUUUAAAGGGAGCGUAGGCCGGAGAUUAAGUGUGUUGUGAAAUGUAGACGCUCAACGUCUGACUUGCAGCGCAUACUGGUUUCCUUGAGUACGCACAACGUUGGCGGAAUUCGUCGUGUAGCGGUGAAAUGCUUAGAUAUGACGAAGAACUCCGAUUGCGAAGGCAGCUGACGGGAGCGCAACUGACGCUUAAGCUCGAAGGUGCGGGUAUCGAACAGG